GAGUUUGAUCCUGGCUCAGAACGAACGUUGGCGGCGUGGAUUAGGCAUGCAAGUCGAACGAGAAAGUUUCCUUCGGGAAGCGAGUACAGUGGCGAACGGGAGAGUAACGCGUGGGAAACCUGCCCUUCAGCGGGGGACAACACUUCUAACGAGGUGCUAAUACCGCAUACGAUUCGGAUACCGCAUGGUGCCCGAAUGAAAGAUGGCCUCUACAUGUAAGCUGUCACUGAAGGAUGGUCCCGCGUCCCAUUAGCUUGUUGGUGGGGUAAUGGCCUACCAAGGCGACGAUGGGUAGCCGGCCUGAGAGGGUGUCCGGCCUCACUGGGACUGAGAUACGGCCCAGACUCCUACGGGAGGCAGCAGUCGAGAAGCUUCGGCAAUGGGCGAAAGCCUGACCGAGCGACGCCGCGUGAGCGAUGAAGGCCCUAGGGUCGUAAAGCUCUGUCAGGAGGGAAUAAAUUCCUGCGGUUAAUACCCGUAGGCGCUGAAGGUACCUCCAGAGGAAGCGCCGGCUAACUACGUGCCAGCAGCCGCGGUAAUACGUAGGGCGCAAACGUUGUUCGGAUUAACUGGGUAUAAAGGGUUCGUAGGCUGGCUAUUAAGUCAGAGGUGAAAGCCACCGGCUCAACCGGUGAAUUGCCUCUGAUACUGAUAGUCUUGAGUCCGUUAGGGGGUGGUGGAAUUCCUGGUGUAGCGGUGAAAUGCGUAAAUAUCAG
rnacentral:rRNA from 1 species